rnacentral:rRNA from 1 species
UACAGAGGUCUCGAGCGUUGUUCGGAAUUAUUGGGCGUAAAGAGCUCGUAGGCGGUUUGUCGCGUCGAAUGUGAAAACCCGGGGCUCAACCCCGGGCCUGCAUUCGAUACGGGCAGACUAGAGUUCGGUAGGGGAGUCUGGAAUUCCUGGUGUAGCGGUGAAAUGCGCAGAUAUCAGGAGGAACACCGGUGGCGAAGGCGGUUAGCUGGGCAGUUGCUGACACUGAGGCGCGACAGCGUGGGGAGCAAACAGG